AUUGACGCUGGCGGAAUGCUUUACACAUGCAAGUCGAACGGCAGCAUAGAGAGCUUGCUCUCUGAUGGCGAGUGGCGAACGGGUGAGUAAUAUAUCGGAACGUGCCUAGUAAUGGGGAAUAACUAGCUGAAAGGUUAGCUAAUGCCGCAUACGACCUACGGGUGAAAGCAGGGGAUCUUCGGACCUUGCGUUAUUAGAGCGGCCGAUAUCUGAUUAGCUUGUUGGUGGGGUAAUGGCCUACCAAGGCGACGAUCAGUAGCUGGUCUGAGAGGACGAUCAGCCACACUGGAACUGAGACACGGUCCAGACUCCUACGGGAGGCAGCAGUGGGGAAUUUUGGACAAUGGGGGCAACCCUGAUCCAGCCAUUCCGCGUGAGUGAAGAAGGCCUUCGGGUUGUAAAGCUCUUUCGCAAGAGAAGAAAACUUGCUAUCUAAUAAAUAGUAAGUAUGACGGUAUCUUGACAAGAAGCACCGGCUAACUACGUGCCAGCAGCCGCGGUAAUACGUAGGGUGCAAGCGUUAAUCGGAAUUACUGGGCGUAAAGCGUGCGCAGGCAGUUUUAUAAGUCAGAUGUGAAAUCCCCGAGCUCAACUUGGGAACUGCGUUUGAAACUGUAAGACUAGAGUGUGUCAGAGGGGGGUAGAAUUCCAAGUGUAGCAGUGAAAUGCGUAGAGAUUUGGAGGAAUACCAAUGG
rnacentral:rRNA from 1 species